ensembl:piRNA 21ur-5111 ncRNA
UUGAUGUAAAGAAAGAAAUAG